UACGUAGGGGGCAAGCGUUAUCCGAAUUUACUGGGUGUAAAGGGAGCGUAGACGGCCAGACAAGUCUGAAGUGAAAAUCCAGCGCUUAACGUUGGAAGUGCUUUGGAAACUGCCGGGCUAGAGUGCAGGAGGGGCAGGCGGAAUUCCUAGUGUAGCGGUGAAAUGCGUAGAUAUUAGGAGGAACACCAGUGGCGAAGGCGGCUUACUGGACUGUAACUGACGUUGAGGCUCGAAAGCGUGGGGAGCAAACAGG
rnacentral:rRNA from 1 species